CCUACGGGAGGCAGCAGUGGGGAAUAUUGGACAAUGGGGGGAACCCUGAUCCAGCCAUGCCGCGUGUGUGAAGAAGGCCCUCGGGUUGUAAAGCACUUUCAGUGAGGAAGAACGCCUGGUGGUUAAUACCCAUCAGGAAAGACAUCACUCACAGAAGAAGCACCGGCUAACUCCGUGCCAGCAGCCGCGGUAAUACGGAGGGUGCGAGCGUUAAUCGGAAUUACUGGGCGUAAAGCGCGCGUAGGCGGCUUGAUAAGCCGGUUGUGAAAGCCCCGGGCUCAACCUGGGAACGGCAUCCGGAACUGUCAAGCUAGAGUGCAGGAGAGGAAGGUAGAAUUCCCGGUGUAGCGGUGAAAUGCGUAGAGAUCGGGAGGAAUACCAGUGGCGAAGGCGGCCUUCUGGACUGACACUGACACUGAGGUGCGAAAGCGUGGGUAGCAAACAGGAUUAGAUACCCCAGUAGUC
rnacentral:rRNA from 1 species